UACGUUUCGACCUGAAACGCUGAAAAAGCAUACAGCAUCAAGAAGACACAUUAUAUGCCGCGAUAAAUGCACUGCCCAAAUGUCCCCUCUUCCCACUGCCUUUCAGCGGCAGGCAGGAGUAAACAGGUCAUCCGAGGAGGCCGAGAUGAUCAUUAAGUUUAACAUCGCCUACAAUAUUGCAAAAGAAGAAGUUCCGUUUACUAAGUUCAAGUCAGAAAUAACUCUUCACAAGAAAAAUGGCUUGGACAUAAACCCCACAUACAGCAAUGAUGUUGUGUGCGCCCAGUUUAUAGGCGUCAUCACUGACACACUGAAAAAAAAGACGUCAGUGGAAAUUGCGAACAGUGCAUACAUGGCAUUCCUGAUCGAUGGAGAGGCAGACAUCGCCACAAAAGAAUGCGUCAUUGUGUACGCUCGUAUCUUGCAAAAAGGAAGACCAGCGAAUAUACUGAUUGGACACAUUGAGGUCGAGCAUGCCCAUGCCAAAGGUAAGCCAUGUCAUGUCAUGUCACGUAGCCUAUGUAAAUAAUAUAAUUAAUAAUAUUACGUCUUUUUACUGCAUUAACCAUAUGUAGCAUAUUCUUAUCAUUGAAAAUCAAACAUAGCAAUAAUACAUGAAUAUAGAAACUGAAACUGAAAAAGACUGCAUUGUAAACUCUUGAUCUGAUAAGUAAAUGGUAUUUUUUUUUAUUCGUUUAGGUGUUUAUGCUGCCUCAAAGAAAGCAUUUGCUGCUCUUGGGGACCAGUGCAGUAACUGGUUGGAGAAAAUCAUUGCUAUGGGGGCUGAUGGCGCUGCUGUUAACCUGGGCAGCAAAGGGGGUGUCAUAGCCCUUCUGCAGCAGGAGGCAGGUGACCACAUUGUGCCAUUCCACUGUAUGCCUCACAGAUUGGAAUUGGCAAUGUUGUCAGUUCAGAGGGACAUUCCAAUGAUCAGGCAGUUGUAUGACCUUCUCCAUUUAAUUUGGAAGACGUAUCAUUUCAGCCCAAAAUCAAUGAGAGAGCUCAGGGUCAUUGGGGCUGACUUGGGAGUAAAUGUGCUGGUGCCCAGUGGGGUGAAGGGAACAAGGUGGCUCCCACAUGUUUCAAGGGCCCUGGAGACCUUUCUGAAACCAGGCCAGUUCACUACUGUGUACCGCCACAUGGACUAUUUGGCAGGUUCCUCUGCCAAUGCAGACAUUGCAGGCCGAGCUACAAAGGUCAGUGCAUUAUUUAUGAAUAUUCUUUUUAUUUGAGCAAAUUACGCAAUUAUUAUUGACUUUAUAUUUUUUAAGAAUGUUUUAAGAAUGUUCAUCAGUGUUCUAGGGUGACUA
rnacentral:lncRNA from 1 species